rnacentral:rRNA from 1 species
GCUCAAAAUCUAGCCCCACCCACACCAUAAACCCCUUCACUCACCCGAUUAAUUAAAACAUUUUUAAAGUUAAGUAAAGGAGAUUAAAAAACUCAAUGGAGCAACAAAAAUUGUACCGCAAGGGAAAGAUGAAAUAGAAAUGAAACAAAACUCAAGCACAAAAAAGUAGAGAUUCCCCUCGUACCUUUUGCAUCAUGGUUUAACUAGUCUAAUCAAGCAAAAAGCACUUUAGUUUGACCCCCCGAAACUAAGCGAGCUACUUCAGGGCAGCUUUAUGAGCAAACCCGUCUCUGUUGCAAAAGAGUGGGAAGACCCUCAAGUAGGGGUGAUAGACCUAACGAGCUUAGUGAUAGCUGGUUUCUCAAGAAAAGGAUUUUAGUCCAACCUAAAGCUCCCCACAUCUACAAAAAUACUCUUUUACAGCUUUAGAGCAAUUCAAAUAAGGUACAGCCUGUUUGAAAUAGGAUACAACCUCAACUGGCGGGUAACAACCCCUAAUUACAGCCAAGUGGGCCUAAAAGCAGCCACCUUUAUAAUAGCGUUAAAGCUUACCUGUACUUCCCAACUAAUCCCUUAAAUCUCCUUCAACCCCCUAUUAGUAUUGAGUAAUUCUAUUCACUUAUAGAACCUAUAAUGUUAGAACUAGUAACAAGAAGUUAACCUUCUCCUUAAUGUAAGUGUAAGCCAGGAAGGACCGCCCACUGGUAAUUAACGCCUAUGAAACCACAUUAGUAACUCCACAAGAAAACCCUAAUGCCCCCUGACGUUGAUCUAACACAAGAGCAUUUCAAGAAAGAUUUAAAGAAAAAGAAGGAACUCGGCAAACCACUAACCCCGCCUGUUUACCAAAAACAUCGCCUCUUGCAUAAGAUAAGAGGUCCAGCCUGCCCAGUGACCCCUCCAGUUUAACGGCCGCGGUAUCCUAACCGUGCGAAGGUAGCGUAAUCAUUUGUUCUUUAAAUCAGGACCAGUAUGAAUGGCAUCACGAGGGUUACACUGUCUCCUUUUUCUAAUCAGUGAAACUAAUCUCCCCGUGAAGAAGCGAGGAUGAAGUUAUAAGACGAGAAGACCCUAUGGAGCUUCAAAUUUUUAUUUCAACUGCUGCACCCAUACUAAAGUCCCGACUUCUCAUAACUAACUCAGCACCAUGAAAUUAAAUUUUAGGUUGGGGUGACCGCGGAGAAUAAAAGAACCUCCACAUUGAACUAGGCCUAUAGCCUUGAGCCAAGAGCUACGACUCCACGCACUAAAACAUUAACAUCCAUUGACCCAAUUACUUGAUCAACGAACCAAGUUACCCUAGGGAUAACAGCGCAAUCUACUUUAAGAGCCCCUAUCGACAAGUGGGUUUACGACCUCGAUGUUGGAUCAGGGUAUCCCAGUGGUGCAGCCGCUACUAAAGGUUCGUUUGUUCAACGAUUAAAACCCU